AUCAGUUUACAACGGAAAGCACAAAGCAACGGUCGUGAGAAUUGAGCAAAGCUCCAUAAAUAAACAAAUUAAAACAAAUAAAAUAAACGCAAAUUUUCGUGACAGAAUUUUUGGAAUUUGUGAGUGUGGUGCAAAGUGCCUACAAGAAAUUCCAACAAGUUUAUCUUUCAAAGAGAAUCUGGUAUCUGUCAAAGCCAAAAGAUAGAAAAAAGCAAAAAGCCGCGCGAUUGUGUCCUUUGUGUCUGUGUGAAAAAAAUUCCGCCCUUAAAGAGCCCUAUUGAAGUAAGCGAACUGAAAGUUUGAGAAAAAGUGACGUUGAAGUAAAAGGGGCAGUUAACUCCCAACGUUGAUGGCUGCCACUAAAAUAAUUGAUGCACCACGCAACGGCCACGAGAUGGCGCCACUGAACACGAGAGCCAGGGGCGAUGGCACCCAUGGGGUGACCAUUGUGUUAACCGCACCUCAACGUAACUCAGUGCAAUCGGUGGACAUCCCAGGCGAACCGGAUCGUGCCGCCUGGAGUGGCAAGAUGCAGUUCUUCCUCAGUAUUAUCGGCUAUUCCGUGGGACUGGGCAACAUCUGGCGCUUUCCCUACCUAUGCCAACAGAAUGGUGGCGGUGCAUUUCUGAUACCCUUUAUGAUAAUGUUGAUACUGGAAGGCAUACCGCUGUUCCUCAUCGAGCUGGGCAUGGGUCAGCGUAUGCGCUUGGGUGCCUUGGGUGUGUGGAACACCAUUCAUCCGUGGUUGGGUGGCAUCGGCAUCUCCUCGUGCAUUGUGACACUCUUUGUGGCGCUCUACUACAAUGUGAUCAUCACGUGGGUCUUCUACUAUCUGUUCAACAGUUUUCGAUAUCCGUUGCCGUGGUCAACUUGUCCGACAAACAGCAGUGGCUUUGAGCUAGAGGAAUGCGCCAAGUCGUCGGAGACAACAUAUUUCUGGUAUCGAACCACAUUGGAUGCGGCCCCAUCGAUGGAUGAACCCGGCGGCCUUAAGUGGUGGAUUGUCUUGUGCCUUCUGCUGUCCUGGACCAUUGUCUUCUUCAUUGUGAUGAAGGGCAUCCAGAGUUCCGGCAAGGUGGUCUACUUCACCUCCCUCUUCCCCUACAUUGUGCUCACCAUCUUCUUCAUAAGAGGAAUCACGCUGCGCGGCGCUGGCGACGGAUUGAUGCACAUGUAUACGCCCAAGCUGGGUAAGCUACUGGAGCCGACGGUCUGGCUGGAUGCGGCCACACAGGUCUUCUAUUCAUUUGGCCUGGCCUUUGGGUCGCUGAUUGCCUUCGGCAGCUACAAUACGCCGAAAAACAAUUGCGUCCGGGACGUGCUGCUGGUUUCCGUAUGCAAUGCGGUCACCGCCAUCUAUGCGAGUGUCGUCAUCUUUGCUAUACUCGGAUUCAAGGCCACAGUCAACGUGGAUCGCUGUAAUGCCGGAAAUUCGGAAAUGCUGGUAAAGUAUGAUAUGCUGCCCUACACGAAUGCCACAGUCGAGGAGUUCAAUGUGGCUAUGGCCAAGUACAAUGCAACCGAGCCAAAACCAUUUGUGCUCAGUGUAUGCGACAUUAAAAAGGAACUGGACAAUGCUGCUGAGGGCACAGGCUUGGCAUUCAUUGUCUUCACCCAGGCCAUCGUCGAGCUGCCCGGUGCACCAUUCUGGGCUGUGCUGUUCUUCACCAUGUUGUUGUCGCUGGGAUUGGGAUCGCAGAUCGGCAUCCUUGAGGGCAUGCUGUGCACGUUAUUCGACAUAGACAUCAUAAAGCGGGUUAAGAAACAACAUGUCACUGGCGUGGUAUGUCUAUUCUGCUUUAUUGUCGGUUUCAUCUUCUGCACAGGUGCCGGCGAGUAUUGGCUCAAGAUGUUUGACUCUUUUGCCGGCACAAUCGGUUUGGUUGUUGUCGCAUUAAUGGAAAUGAUAGCCGUCAUCUUUAUUUACGGACACGAGCGCUUCACUGAGGAUAUCUAUCAGAUGACGGGCUAUAGACCGGGUCUAUACUGGCAGCUAACUUGGCGCUACAUUGGCCCUGUUAUCAUGGUCUGCAUAUUGAUCUCCUCUGUGGUCUUCAUGGUCAUUCGCAAUCCCACAUAUGGAGCCUGGAAUGCCGAACUGGGUGCUAUUGAGCAAAAGAAUUACCCCAAUUGGGUGAUGGGCAUUGCCUUGGCCAUGAUAAUGGCGGGAGUGCUGCCCAUGCCCAUUGUGUUCCUCAUGCGCAGCUUCCAGUGCCUGAAAGUGGAUCUGGAUAUUCACCAGGGUUCGAUACGUCGCAAUGAGACAACCGCCUCUACCAAGGAAAUGAUUGACAACGAUGAUGAUAAUUUGAGUCCGGAUAUGCCACCGCAAGAUUCAUUAGCGGCGACACGCUUCACAAUUGGAGACUUUGAAAACUAGAACUUCUAAAAUGAAAACCAAAAACCAAAACUUACAAAUAAUCGAAUAACAACACAUUUUAAGUAUCCAACUCAAGUAAAUACCCAAAAUCCUUACUCAACUCAACUCAACUCAAUUCUCAAAGUAGACCCGUUGCAUCGCCUGACUCCACGCAUUUCGAGGACAAUGAGAAAUUAAACACGCGCCGUCUGCCUGACUAUACAAAAGUCUCAUACAGCAAACUUGCUCACUUAUUGUUGAACCGAUUUGAAAUAAGUAAAGCAACAAGCAAAUAUUUUUAAACAACAACGCACAGCAUAUUAACUAGCAACAAACAAUUGCAAUGCCAUUUAAAUAUACUUUGAAAUACAUACAUAAGCAAAAUGUUAUGUAUUCUAUCGUAUCUAUCGAACAACUGCAAUUUGUACUCUUCAGCGCCUUCUUUACAAGAACAAAGAGAACGAAAAUAUGAAGAAGAAGAAGAAGAAGAACAAUGAUAACAAUUAUUUACCACAAAUUAGUUUAGUGCAAAUGUUACUCGUACUCGUACUCGUACUAUAUGAUAAAAAGUUAACUUCAAGUUUAGACAAGGCUCAAUGAUUAGGCUUAGGCUGCAGACUGACCGAAGAAGUGACUAACUGACUAACAGAAAGAAUGGACAGACAGUCAGACGGAUGGGCUAUUCGCAGUCAGAUUACGAGUAGCAACUCUGGCCUAAAGAUGGUUCAGUAAUGCAAACACAAGAGGACGAUGAGGAGGACGAUGAGAAUGAUUUCAGUGGGCCAGCGUUGGGUGGUCAUGUGAAGACCCAGAGCGACUUUUCCGAGGACGAUGAGG